AUUGAACGCUGGCGGCAUGCCUUACACAUGCAAGUCGAACGGCAGCACGGGUGCUUGCACCUGGUGGCGAGUGGCGAACGGGUGAGUAAUAUAUCGGAACGUACCUUAUUGUGGGGGAUAACGCAGCGAAAGCUGUGCUAAUACCGCAUAAUCCCUAAGGGGGAAAGCGGGGGACCGUAAGGCCUCGCGCAAUUAGAGCGGCCGAUACCUGAUUAGCUAGUUGGUGAGGUAAAGGCUCACCAAGGCAACGAUCAGUAGCUGGUCUGAGAGGAUGAUCAGCCACACUGGGACUGAGACACGGCCCAGACUCCUACGGGAGGCAGCAGUGGGGAAUUUUGGACAAUGGGGGCAACCCUGAUCCAGCAAUGCCGCGUGAGUGAAGAAGUCCUUCGGGUUGUAAAGCUCUUUUGUCAGGGAAGAAACAGCAGCUCUAACACAGUUUGCGAAUGACGGUACCUGAAGAAUAAGCACCGGCUAACUACGUGCCAGCAGCCGCAGUAA
rnacentral:rRNA from 1 species